GUGAGGAAUUUUCCGCAAUGGGCGAAAGCCUGACGGAGCAAUGCCGCGUGAAGGAUGAAGGCCUAUGGGUUGUAAACUUCUUUUCUCAGAAAAGAAUUAUGACGGUAUCUGAGGAAUAAGCAUCGGCUAACUCUGUGCCAGCAGCCGCGGUAAGACAGAGGAUGCAAGCGUUAUCCGGAAUGAUUGGGCGUAAAGCGUCUGUAGGUUGUUUAAAAAGUAUUCUGUCAAAGAUUAGGGCUUAACCCUAGAUAGGCAGAAUAAACUUUUAAGCUAGAGUGUGGUAGAGGCAGAGGGAAUUCCCGGUGGAGCGGUGAAAUGCGUAGAUAUCGGGAGGAACACCAAAGGCGAAGGCACUCUGCUGGGCCAAUACUAACACUGAGAGACGAAAGCGAGGGGAGCAAAUGGGAUUAGAAAACCCGGUAGUCC
rnacentral:rRNA from 1 species